rnacentral:rRNA from 1 species
GCUCCAUCCUAAGUCCAGCAUUGAAUAUGGUAUGGACAUGGCCCAUUGAGGGUGAAAGGCCCGUGUGGGUGGAGGUUCAUGAUGCCAGUGUCUCCCUGGGUAGACCUUGGAGUCGGGUUGUUUGUGAAUGCAGCCCAAAGUGGGUGGUAAACUCCAUCCAAGGCUAAAUACAAGCACGAGUCCGAUAGCGAACAAGUACCGUGAGGGAAAGUUGAAAAGUACUUUGAAGAGAGAGUAAACAGUACGUGAAACCGCUCAGAGGUAAACGGGUGGAGUUGAACUGCAAUCCUUGUGGAUUCAGCUGGUGAGUGUGGUUUGAGCUUGGUUAAAUUGGUUGAUCUCAGGGGUCUGCGUAUUGGCAGGUCUUCACCUUCGGGUGGGGAUGCGCGAUGCACCUACCAUGUGCUGUGCGCCUCGGGGUUAUCGGACCUACUCGCCAGUGCACUUCUGCAGGGUGUUCACCACGACCGGUGUCGCCGUCUGACUGUUGUGGUUAAACCGGUCUUGCAUUUUCCUUGUGAUUUUGCUUGGUCGGGAUGGCAGGUAGCUCUUCGGUGGCUGUGGCUUGCUGCAGUUGCCUUUGGGUGUAAUCAGCUGACUGCAAUGGUUCUGUGCGGUACGUCGGAGACAGCGGCUAGUUGUGUGUGCUUUCGUGCCAUUGCGUGGGCAUGCUCGGGUCUGAUUGUCAUGUUGCUCGCUUAAUGUGGGCCUGGCAGUGGCUCGGGUUUGUUCUGUGGUGGUUGCGUUUGUGUCACUUUACAGGGCCAAUAGUCUGUGGUGUAGUGGUAGACGAUCCACCUGACCCGUCUUGAAACACGGACCAAGGAGAGUAACAUGUGCGCGAGUCAUUGGGCGUAACGAAACCCACAGGCGAAGUGAAAGUAAAGGCUUGGCUUGUCCAGGCUGAGGUGAGAUCCUGCUGUUUCCCAUGCGCGGUACUACCAAGCAUCGAGCAG